CUUAGCUCAGCUGGAUAGAGCGUCUGCCUCCGGAGCAGAAGGUCGCGGGUUCGAAUCCCACAG
rnacentral:tRNA from 1 species